rnacentral:lncRNA from 1 species
UCCAGGCUGUGGAACUCACUCUUAACUCUGCCUGCACUUUCCCCUCCUAGAUCUUGACAUUUCUGUUCUUCUUUAUCACCUAGGUUUCAGUUUAAAAGUCACCCUCCAGUCACUCUCUGCAUGAGAGAAAUCGGAGUCCUUUUUGGCACGUUCCCCUCAGCCCUCAUAUCCAGUUCAUCAAUAAGGUUUAUUUUCUCUCUGCCUUCUCACUCAAGUCCAUUUAUUUCUCCCUCUUCCCACUGCCAUCACCCUAAUAUAAGCCACCUUCCUCUCUUGCCUGGACUAUAGCAGUAGCCUACCAGCCAUCACCCACAUUUGUACUUGUUCCCUUCCAAUCUGUGUACCUCCCCUCCAGUCACACAACUGCCUUAUGCACACAGACAACUUCAUUGAUUUCCCAUUGCUCUUAGGGUAAGUUUCAGAAUCCUUAACAAGGUCUCUAAGUCUCUGAAUGAUCUGGUUCUGGUCUUUCUCUUCAGCUAUAUCUUUUCAUACAUAAGCAUUGUUUGGGUUCCUUAACCAUUUCACACCCCUUUCCAACUAAAUACAUGUCUUUCCAACGCGUGACGCUGUUUCACCGUCUCCCUUUUGCCCUCUUACUCCUGCUCAUCCUUCAGGUCUUAGCUUAGAAGUCAUUUUCUCAGGAUUGUGUUUCCUGACCACCCCCAAAGACUGGAUUUAUUCCUUCCAUCAUUAGCGUCACAGCAUCUUGUACUUUCCAUGUGUAAUACAUAUUAGGAUUAUCCUUAGUUCAUUCAUCUUUAUUGUCCACCAACCUUGCUAGUAUGUUUCAUUAGCCAAAGUAUUGUGAGCUCUGAUGCCAUGUUGCCUGGGCUCUAAAUCCUGGUUCCUUUUCUUCUUAGCUGUCUGCUUCAAGCAGAUUAACUUAGACUUUCUUAAUGUUAAUAUACCUACCUACCAUAUAAACUUGUCUUGAGGUUUAAAUGAGUUAAUAAAUAGAAACCACUAAGGGUGGUGUCUGGCAGAUAAUAAGCUCUCAAUAAAUCAUCAUGAUUGUCGUUACUAGGAUCAGGACUGGGACUAGGCCUGUCUCAUUCAUCAUGGCUCAUCCAAUAAGUAUUUGUUGAAUAAGUAAACAAUAUUUUUCAUGAGUCAAUUAAAAUUAGAAUUAGCCUUAUUAAAUGCCUAAAUGUGCACAAGGCUCGUUAGGGGAUAUAGAGAUUAAUGAGAUACUUUUCACAAUCAAGGAGUCUUCAGCUCAGCGAUUGAGAGCAAGAUACAUGAAUGAAGUGUCUUCAGAGAGAAGACCUGUAGCUUGUACAUCGUCGCGUCCUGGGCAUCUUCCCCAAGCCUAGUCCCUGGGUUGUGCUCCAUGCUAGUAAGUGGAGCCACCAAGCUGUCUCACAGCGGAGAACAUGGAAGCUUGGGGACAACUGGGGGAGGCUGGCCAGAGGAAACGGCAGUGAAUCCUGCCUUGAUGAACAGGCAGGGUUUUAAGAGGAAGAGCUCAGAGGAGGGGCUGGGAGUGCCGGGAAGUGGGGGAGGCAUUCCAGGAAGGAAAAUGAAAGGCCUGGAUCUGGGAGAGCGAAUGGAAACCAUCGUUUGGAAUGAGGGAGUAGUAGUUCUCCCAUGGGAUCCCGGGACCAGCAGCAUCAGUAUCACGUGAGAACGUGUUAGAGAUGCCAGCGUGGGCCUCCAGGAUUUCCUGAACCUGAAAAAUCUGGGGGCAGAGGAGGCCCAGAAAUCUGCGUUUCCACAUUUCCUCCAGCUGAUUGUGAUGCUUACUAAGGUUGGAGAAUGUUAAAGUUUGAAACCCGUGGGUCUAGAGCAAUGGCGAUCUGUGAAUACCAGAGAUCGAAAGGGUGUUCUCAAGAGAUUCAUGUGGUAGCAAUGAGAGCACAAUUCACGAGUCCCACACACAACAAACAGGCAAGUGUGCCCGUUAGUGGGGAUUCACAGAUGCACGAAAACCACUGGUGCCCCUGAAUGCCAUCAUAUAGUUGUGGGUUUUUGGGGUUUUUUUUUGCUUUUUAGGGCUGCACCCUCGGCACAUGGAAGUUCCCAGGCCAGAGGUCGAAUCAGAGCUACAACUGCCAGCCACAGCCACAGCCACAACCACGGGGAUCCGAGCCGAGUCUGUGACCUAGACCAGAGCUCACUGCAGCAAUGGAUCCCCAACCCACUGAGGGAGGCCAGGAAUACAAGUUAUUGAGAAGCACAGGGUAAUAACAUUUUUGCAAAUUUGCCCCAAGAUGGUCUUCCAGAUCCACAAGUCAAAUAUCAGACUUCUUCUAAGGGCUCACCAAGAAGUCUCAAAUGCUU